CUAACUGGAAAAUUCCAAGCCUAAUCUUUCCUCACCCCCAUUUCAGUUAUUCAGCAACAUUCAACGAGUAUGUGUUGAACACCUACAAAAUUCCAAGGUCUGGAGAUCCACUGAUGAACAAAACAGAGCCUUAUGCUUGCAGAACUUGUGUUCUAGUGGAAAGAUACAGAUAAUAAAUAUAACAGGGACCUGACUGAUAGAUUGGAUGCCGGUUGUGAAUGAAAGUGGAGUUAAGGAUGACUUCUUUGGCUGCAAGACCCAGGGUUCACCAGGUCCUCCCCUUCUAUACAACUUUGUGCCCCAAACCUGGCCAAGGCGACUUUGGGAGCUUCGUUCCCCUUGGCAGUACCCGAACUGCAUAGAGCUUCUAAGGAGUAGAAGCCCAUCCCCUUGACCAAGAAGAUCUGCUUAGCGGGAGAUGGAGGAAAGUUGCAAGGAGAGCCAGACGGGCCGAGUGUCCACUCCUCUGCCUGCCCUGCUGGAGAUCAUUGCUGAACUGCAGGUGGCUGAACACUGGCCAAGAGAGACAUGGUUCCACAAAGGUUGGUUGCUCUGUGACCCUGGACUAGACCUUGAGACACUUUCAGCUUCUCCCCUCUCCACAUGAAGGACAGGCAUGGUCAACCAAGCAAGUUUCUCAGGUACCUUAAACUGGUGGAUCAAGUGUGAACAGUAAGUCCUAAACCUGCCAGCCUGGAGGCUGGAGCUUGAGAACCCCAGUGGGAACGCACAAUCCGCCCCCAGCUUGGAGAGGUGAGAUUCCCUAUAGCAAGGUCAAGAGACAGGAUGUGACUGUGGAGAAGGCUCUGCACUGGGGUCACCUGGUCGCAGUUUCCAACCCCUGCAAACUCUAGUGCAGGACCCGCAGACUCACGGCACCUCAGUGAUGGCAUCUGUGAAGUGGGAAGGUUGAACGCUUGCAGCUGAUGUUCCCUUGGGAAGCCCUAGGCGUGCAGGCCUCCUUUUCCCUUGGUCUCCUCACCUAGAAGGCAGCAGGGUGCAGA